CAUACGUCGUGCCACGACAUUAAAUGCGGGUAAGAGUUGGGGUGCUAGGAUAGCUACUAAAUGCAAAAGUAAAAUGCAUAGAACUAUGUUCUUAAUUUUGGGUCCAGUGAACCUGCCCCAUUUUCUUUUAAAAACAAAGCCACAACUUGUGCUCUUUUAUUUUCCCUUCCGUUUAAAAGGAUCCCUGUUUAAAACACCAGCACACCUCGCCUAUUUUUUCUAUUUUCACAAGCACUCUCUCGCCUACUGCUCAACACCACGCACGCUGGUACCAGUGUCCUGUGAGUUUUGAAGAUGUGUUUGAAUGCUAUGCUUCACUAAAAUUGUUAACUAUACCUUGAACUUUGGAAGUGAUUAUUAUUAUGCAAGCUGCUUGAAGUGUUGAAACUCAACAUUCUUGAAGAUUCGACGAGGAAUGGAUCAAGUCACGGAGGACGAGGUCUUUGAUGCUACCAUAGUUAACAGGGAGUUACUCUAACUUUGAUUUUCUUUUUUUUUUUUUUUUUAGUUGCAUUAGGAACAAGGCAACAUUUUAAGUUGAGGGAGGCUGUAUUUUGAUGAAUAUUUUGUGUUGGGGUGUGAUAUGUUAUGAUAUAUGAUAGUUUGGUAAAAGUCUAAGUUUGUGGGGAUGGUCCAAAAAGUUGUGAUGUGGGAGUUUUAAAAGUGAAAAGGUGAAAAAAAAAGUAGUAGAAUAGAAAAAAAAAAAAAAUGGAAACUUCCUUGCUAUUUUGAAAAAGAAAAAGAAAAAAAAAGAGGAAGGAAUAAUAAAGAGUUGUGAAUAAAAGUGAAGUUUGGGACAAAAUAUUUUCAUCUUUAAUCAUUUUUACACAAGUUUCGGAGGUAGAACUUUACACCACACUUUGAAGCUAAAGAUUUGGUUGAGCACUUUUUUGAACCUUUACUUUAUUUCUUUAAUUUCUUGCUUUGUAAUGAAUAUCUAAGUAUGUAGUAUUUAUUUUCUUCACUUGAAUUUUGUUUAUGGAAAUAUUCUAUGAUUAAAGUUUGGACGAAACUCUUGUUUUGCUUAUGUAUUGAAUAAUUUUUAUUACUAAUGAAGUGAAUUAAUGUUGUUUUAA